AACGAACGCUGGCGGCAUGCCUAACACAUGCAAGUCGAACGAGAUCUUCGGGUCUAGUGGCGCACGGGUGCGUAACGCGUGGGAACCUGCCCUUUGGUUCGGAAUAACAGUUGGAAACGACUGCUAAUACCGGAUGAUGACGAAAGUCCAAAGAUUUAUCGCCAGAGGAUGAGCCCGCGUAGGAUUAGCUAGUUGGUGUGGUAAAGGCGCACCAAGGCGACGAUCCUUAGCUGGUCUGAGAGGAUGAUCAGCCACACUGGGACUGAGACACGGCCCAGACUCCUACGGGAGGCAGCAGUGGGGAAUGUUGGACAAUGGGCGAAAGCCUGAUCCAGCAAUGCCGCGUGAGUGAUGAAGGCCUUAGGGUUGUAAAGCUCUUUUACCCGGGAUGAUAAUGACAGUACCGGGAGAAUAAGCUCCGGCUAACUCCGUGCCAGCCGCCGCGGUAA
rnacentral:rRNA from 1 species